rnacentral:rRNA from 1 species
CGUAGGGUGCAAGCGUUGUCCGGAAUUAUUGGGCGUAAAGAGCUCGUAGGCGGUUUGUCGCGUCUGCUGUGAAAACCUGGGGCUCAACCCCGGGCGUGCAGUGGGUACGGGCAGACUAGAGUGCAGUAGGGGAGACUGGAAUUCCUGGUGUAGCGGUGAAAUGCGCAGAUAUCAGGAGGAACACCGGUGGCGAAGGCGGGUCUCUGGGCUGUUACUGACGCUGAGGAGCGAAAGCAUGGGGGAGCGAACAGGAUU